rnacentral:rRNA from 1 species
UACGUAGGGGCCGAGCGUUGUCCGGAGUUAUUGGGCGUAAAGCGCGCGCAGGCGGCCUCGCGCGCCCGACGUGAAAGCCCCCGGCUUAACCGGGGAGGGUCGUUGGGGACGGCGGGGCUUGAGGGCGGGAGAGGUCGGUGGAAUUCCCGGUGUAGUGGUGAAAUGUGUAGAGAUCGGGAGGAACACCGGUGGCGAAGGCGGGUCUCUGGGCAAUUCCUGACGCUGAGGCGCGAAAGCGUGGGGAGCAAACGGG